GACGAACGCUGGCGGUGUGCUUAACACAUGCAAGUCGAACGAAGUGGCGAACGGGUGAGUAACGCGUAAUCAACCUGCCCUUCAGAGGGGGACAACAGUUGGAAACGACUGCUAAUACAGCAUACUGAAGGAGGGGAUUGCGGCUGAUUAGCUAGUUGGGGGGGUAACGGCCCACCAAGGCGAUGAUCAGGAGCCGGUCUUAGAGGGUGAACGGCCACAAUGGGACUCAGACACGGCCCAGACUCCGACGGGGGGCAGCAGUGGGGAAUCUUUCGACAUGGACGAAAGUCUGACGGAGCAACGCCGCGUUAGUGAUGACGGCCUUCGGGUUUUAAAGCUCUGUUAAUCGGGACGCGGUACCGGAAUAGAAAGCCACGGCUAACUACGUGCCAGCAGCCGCGGUAAUAC
rnacentral:rRNA from 1 species